rnacentral:rRNA from 1 species
CCCUUAGAUGUUCUGGGCUGCACGCGCGCUACACUGAAGCUAUCAACACGUUUUCCCUCCCUGAGAAGGGCGGGUAACCUUUUGAAUCAGCUUCGUGGUAGGGAUCGGGGCUUGCAAUUGUUCCCCGUGAACCAGGAAUUCCCAGUAGACGCGAGUCAUAAGCUCGCAUCGAUUAAGUCCCUGCCCUUUGUACACACCGCCCGUCGCUACUACCGAUUGAACGUUUUAGUGAGGCAUUUGGACCGACGCAUCUCAGUUUAACCGCUGGUUUGUGUUGGAAAGACUUCCAAACUUGAGCGUUUAGAGGAAGUAAAAGUCGUAACA